rnacentral:rRNA from 1 species
CUGCUGCCUCCCGUAGGAGUCUGGGCCGUGUCUCAGUCCCAAUGUGGCCGUCCACCCUCUCAGGCCGGCUACUGAUCGUCGCCUUGGUAGGCCGUUACCCUGCCAACAAGCUAAUCAGACGCGGGCCCAUCUCGCACCACCUGGGUUUUCAGGGCAGGGGCAUGCGCCCCCGCCCGCUAUGCGGUNUUAGCACCUAUUUCUAAGUGUUAUCCCCCAGUNCGAGCGUUACGUGCCGUACGCGUACCUCACCCGU